rnacentral:rRNA from 1 species
UACAGGGGGUGCAAACGUUGCUCGGAAUCAUUGGGCGUAAAGCGCACGUAGGCGGUCUGUUAUGUCGGAUGUGAAAGCCCUUGGCUCAACUGAGGAAGUGCAUCCGAAACUGGCGGGCUAGAGUACUAAAGAGGGUCGCGGAAUUCCCGGUGUAGAGGUGAAAUUCGUAGAUAUCGGGAGGAACACCGGUGGCGAAGGCGGCGACCUGGGUAGAUACUGACGCUGAGGUGCGAAAGCGUGGGGAGCAAACAGG